ACACACACUCACACACACACUCACACACACACACACACACAAACACACACACACACAAACCCAGAUGAGCAGCGACUCCUCCACACAUUGAUCAGUCGCUCAUUUCAACAGGACACAUUCAUUUUUGUGUUUUUUUUUGUGAGUCUUACACUGUCCAUGUUUCUGUUUGGGAGGUCAGAUCAUCCCAGAGCUCACCUGUCAAUCAAACCGCGUGGGCGGGAUUAUCAUCUUCUUUAGAUUUCCUGUAGAUCCAGUUUGAGCUUUGUGCAGGCGGCGCUAUCAGAGAGAGCCAUCAUGAAUAAAUGAAUAUGUUGCGAAAUGUCACUUUAAUAGUUAAAACCCGUCAUGCCCAGUUACGACAACACACACCAACCAUUAUCACUCCAUGAGUGCCAAUGUUCUCAAUCCACCAGAAAGGAGAAUUAGUCUCCUGCUUGCAACUGUGUUAAGAAGUGAAGAAGAAGUGAAUGUCUGGAGAAAUGAAGUCAGUGAAACAAACAAAAUGAGGUCUCAGCUGCUUCUGACAGCUCCCAUUUUGUAAUCAAUUCAAAAAGGUCAGGUGCUCUGCGAGGAUCUAAGAAAUAACUUACUCUCACGGAGGAAAACUUCAUUUCAUGAGCAAUAAGCUGUAACCGUGUUCAGUUUAUUCACAUCAACAUGACUCAGCAAACUUAUGUUUACAUUCAGUCAUUUAGCUGACAAAACAAUCAAGGUAGUUGAUGUUAGUAGAUUUCUCAUGUCCAGUUGUUGGUAGUGUUGCAGAGGAGGUCCCCUCUGAAGAGCUGGAUCUUCAGGAGGUUUUUAAAGGUAGAGCGGGAUGCCCUUAAUCUGGUAGGAACUGGUAGGAAGUUCCACCAAUGGGGAACAGACGUUGUUCAUUGGAGGAACACAACGGUUGGGAGGUGGAGACUACUUUGUCGACAUUAGGGAUUCGAAUUUAGUGCGGGCUGCUACAGGUAGCUGCGAGGUAACAAGACCUUUUGGGUUGAUAACCACUGAGUUUAUUAUAGAGCGUUGGUGAUGCGACUGGCUCCCGGUUUGUUUGUUUUGUGGAUGUGCAUGGGCGCCAGGACCCUCUUCACAUCCUGCUGUUGGUUGUUUGUUGUUGUCGGUCCUCCAGUUGAUAGACGGUGUGGGCAACGUGCUACCAAAUGUCAACAGAGGCAGCGAACAAUUCAAGCAAACACAGAUGCAAACAACGCAGGGUUUCAAAUAUCUGUGAGUACUUUACAAGGCUGGGAAUCCAUUCAGCACAUUUCUCAGACCUCAAGGAUGUGUUUUAUGAGUAACACUGAGUGUAAACUGUAAACCCCACAGGGCACCUUUUAAAAAUGAGCUGUAUUUGAUUUGUAGGCUGUUACUGCUAGCUUAAUCUGUUCUGAACAGCAGAGGAGGAAAGGACCCACAAACGUGUCAUGAUUAGCCCAGGCUAUAUUAGCUGGAAUCAGAGCGGUAAACUGGCUAAUUGGAAGUCAUGUGGAUUUUGUUUAGAAGCACUGAUUGUCUAUUUGACAACAGAUACACAAUAGAAAAGCAGGGUUCCACUUUGCGUCAGGCCAAAACCAAGUGUAGGCUUCAGACCUGAGCCGGACUGGUCAGCGUAUGAUGCUGCCUGAAGAGAGGAAGCCAACAGUGUGCAGGUGAGGCAGGCGUGGAGGGAUGUUUUGAAAAGUAAACGAAUAAAAUGAAAUGAAGCAACGCCGUGACAUUUAUGGUCCUGUGGGGGCUUCCGUCUGGUUGCGCUGGCUCCUCUGUUGCUUAACCAAUCAUAGAGCAGGCGGGGCUGGAGCUGUGCCAAGUGAUAGCUCGAUGUUCAAAGAGUAACCCUGAGCUGCUUUUGUCCAUACGUCUGUCAAUAUUUAACUAGUUGAUUUUUUUUUUUAUUUUUUUUUCUCCUGGCGAGUGUGAAGUUCAGGGCUUUUGUGGGGGUGACUGGCUGGGCUGGGCCCGGGCUGGGCGGCUGCACAGGCUUAAGCUGGAUGAGACGUACAGGAAAUUCCCUCAGCCCACUUCCUCUUUUGCAUUGUUGCAGAAAAAGGAAGAACGCUCAACAGGUCCGCGUUGAGUUUCCUGUCGAGUAAACCGAUGGGUCAGUUCACAUCCGCAGACAUGUGGAAGUCCUGCUUUGUUUUCAGUAGAUUUCAAACGCGGUUCCUCACGCAGACAUGACUCUCACACAUCUGGAGGUCAGGAAAAUGUCCCUCUCUCUUUCUCUCUCUCUCUCUCUUCAGUGUUUAGUUUAUGGCUGCUGCUGCUCGGGAUCCGCUCUCUUCCCUCAGACAGACGGCAACAUGUCUUUGUCACAGCUCGCGCACUCUAGAACACCUCCGCUCGUCCUUUCUCCUCCCGCCUAUCUAAACACACGUGCUGCAAAACAAGCCGUCCAUUAACCCCCACACUCAGAGGGAGUUCUGUCCUAGGGGGGGAGAACAGGAGGAGGAGGAGGUGGUGGGAGGAGGGAGGUGGAGAGGGGGGGAGACAGAAAGAAAAAGAAUGAGGGAGGAAAUUGCAGUGUGGGCAGAAAUCCGCCUUCUCCAUUUCCUGGGGAGGAAGUGGAUUAGAUCGGGGAGAGUUGCAGCCUGCUCCUCACGCUGAAGAAUGCUACCAGGCUCGAACUUAACCCUUUCAGCCAGACAACACACUCCAAACCCCAACCGCAUGAAAUGGAAUAAAUCCUUCUCUAUCCACCAUUAACUUCCAGUCACUUUCUCUUCAGAUCUUUUUCUUCAUCUUUUGUGUGUGUGUGCGUGUUUUUUUGCCCUCUCUUUUAUGUUUUUCAUAUUGUUCUCCCCUUUGUGUUUCCCGUCUGUUGCUCUGUGAGGCACCGAAUCAGUGAAACACUUCUAAUAAUUCUUUUCAUUCAUUAGAAAAGACACUUCAAUGCGAACGCCUCCGAUUUUGUACAAUCAGAUGUCACCAAAUGAAGCAUAGGAACAUCAGGAGAUAAGAGAUUUAGUGGAUUUGAAGAAAUCCUUUUUUUUCCCCCAAUGCUUGAUUUAUAUAUAAAGUAAACACAUACAUGCUAUAAAUAUAUAUAGAUACAAUGAAAAUAACUAAAAAUAAAGGAAAGGCACAAAUGAUGGUGCAGUGUAAAUAAACUGUACACAUCUCUUACUAAACGGUUGAAAAAUGACAAGCAUGCAAAUAUCAAGUAUUAAAAAUGAAGAAUUCGAUGCACACCGUAUGGACUGUAUGAUGUGAAAGUGACAGCAUUACAUCUUAAGAGCAGUGUACCUCCAGUGAUGCUGAUUAAAGAUCUGAGGGUGUAAUAAGAAAUGUCAUGACCACUAGUUGAAUAAUGACUAAUAUUUCCAUGAAAUGAAAGACAAUAACAGCUCCCACUUUUCCAUUAGUUAACAUGGAGCAACUUAGGUGUGUCCUUGUUAGUCAGUUUAGUUAGUAAUCAAGUUAUGGAGGCUGGAGAGUGCUGUUGCCUGGUAACCUCAAGGUGACAACAAGACUUCAGCAAGAAUUAAUUGAGGUCAUAAAAAGCCAGGUGAAACCAUAACUCGCCCUUUAGCACUUCGGUUUUUGUUCAGAUAAAACAUUGAUUACAGAGCGAUGCUAGCUGUUUCCAGUCUUAUGCUAAUGCUAAUGCUAAGCUAAGUUAAGCUAUGCCGUCUCCUGCCUUACAUUUACCAUACGAGUCACAUCAAAAUGUUGAGCUAACUGUAUCCAGGCUGUAUACAGCUUCAUAGCUACCAUACAGACAUAAGAGUGGCAUCAAAUAGAUGGAGCCACACGUGAAUUACACAUUUGUAAAAAGGUCGGUAGACAAAUGUAAAUUUCAAAUGUAAGUUGCAAUUCGGUCGCAGUUAUUUUAAGGUCUAAAACACGACGAGUUCCUGUAAUAUUUGAUAGUAAACAUGCACCAAAGUCAGUGGCUGUGGAGGCCUUAAACAGCUCCUUCAGCUACAGACUGCUACUCCCAGCAUGUAGUUGAAUCAUGCAGGACUUUUUUUUUAUAUAUCUUAUCUUAUGCUCUGUUCUCACUGCAUCGUAUGCCCUGAUGGAGACUCUAAGUCAAAAGCAUGUUGGUAUAAAGCAUUACAUUUUAUCAGUGCCUCAGACUGUUUUGGUGACUGCCAACCAGCUCCAUUGACUUCCAUGAAUACUGUUGGACAGCCAUUGUUGUCAUUGACUACUGAAGAGCACCUGAUUCUCUGUUUCAACCAUCACAACACUGUAUUUUUGACCCAGUGCAGCACACCCUAUUUUUUUUCUUCAGCAGAAAUAUCUCACUGGAUGAUUAAAAAAAAAUCUAUGUCCAUGGAAACAAGACUGGCUGGUUUCCUUGGUGUGUGUGUGUGCGUGUGUGUGUGUGUGUGCUCACAGCUGGGUUUGCACUAUGCAUGCUUGUACGAGUGGGUGGAUGAGUGUGACUGAAUCUUGUGUCUUUGUGCAAAGCUUGCCAGAGGUAGUGUAGGUGUAUGCUUGUGUGUGUGUGUAUGUGUAUGAGUAGUUUGUGUGUGUGUUACCGUAUAUGACUGCAAACCCCCUCACUAGCUUCCUUUGGUCUCUCACUCUUUCUUUGUGGUGUAUUGCCCCUUUUACUGUGUGUGUGUGUUUGUGUGUGUGUGUGUGUGUGUGUGUGUGUGUGUGUGUGUGUGUGGAGGUGGAUUUUCCCCUCUGCCACACCCACCUGACAGGGAAUCAACGUACAGAGAGUCACACAAAGCGAGGGGGGAUGAAUAGUGUGUGAGGAUUUAACUAUGGAAAUGUGUUGCUCUCAUACCCACAUGUCCUUGAGUCAGGGUGUCAAAAGGUCAUGGCCGGCCCUCCUCCUCUUUUCUCCUUCGUCCUUCCUUCUUCUUCUUCCUCCUCCUCCUACUCCUCUGUCUGGAGAAAGAAAAAUCUUUUCUCUAUUGAGAUAGCAAGACCAAUAUCCGCCUACUUCAGCUUGGAGAGAAAAGGCAAACAUUUACUGAAGAACUGAGUGACUAAGGAGGUUUCAGUUUGGAGAGCAAAGUCCCUGCAGCCUUUCUGAUGCAGCAGUGCUUUUUUUUGUGUGUGUGUGUGUGUGUGUGUGUGUGUGUGUGUGUGUGUGUGUGUGUGUGUGUGUGUGUGUUUAUUUAGUUAUAGUUCAUUCAGUUCAGGCAGCGCUGAAAUCCUCUGUCUGAGAUUUUUAUGUGCAUCAGUCGUGUCUUUGUGUAUAUUUAGACUGUUCAAAGUCAGGAGUUUCUAACAGAAAACAAUAUCUGAGACUUUCAGAUUCCAGUAUGACUCAAAAUACAGCAUGUGUUAAGUUUUGUUCCAGUUCAACAAAUAAAGAGAGAGGAAAUGAUCAGGCAUGUAUGACGCAACAGAAAAGCCAAACACAUUUCAAUCAACAGCUGUUUCCAAAUGGUUAGAAAUGAGUUUAGCCUAUGUAACCUUUGCUUACUUUUACUUUACUUUACUCACUUGUUGCUGAAACUGAGAUCCUCACAUGUUGAGACUUUACUUUCAUUCGUCCUCUUCAUCAGCCAGCGCCUUUGGCUAAUUUUAAUGGCUACCAAACAGAGAACUAGUUAAACCAGCUUGUUUUGGAAGGCCCACAGACAAAGUAAUGCGCCUGGUAUGGAGGUAGAUUUGUGUCCAAAUGGAAGAGUACAAUGCAAACUGUCUUGUCUUUAGCUUUUAUACAAAUAUGCUAUAUAGAGACACUCAGUUUACCUGUUGUGGUUGCUUGCUAACAUUGUAAAACUAGCUUCUCCUAAGUAGUGCCCCAAUUUUCUACUACAAGCCAACACUAUAAAAUUAUUUAGUUAACCAUACCUAAGUUAAAUAUAGCUGCUAGCUAUGAGGUUAACUAGAAAAACACUGAUGUUGACGCUAACAUUGUAAUGCUAGCGUCUCCUGUCUCAGUGUUGUCCCAUAUACAACGAAAAUACAGAAAAUGGUCGGUAGCGGAGUUGAUGACAACAGAAAUCGUUAAUUGCUCCCCUACCAGCAACAUUUUGGCACAUCUGUAAUAUUCAGGAUAACAAAGUAGCAUUUUUUGUAGCAUACAAACCUUUUUUCCUAUGUGAAAAUACUACUUAAAGUGUUAGCAUUUAGCUUAUAGUUGGGACACAGUGAUGCAUUAGCUACUGUGCUAAUCGGAAGAUUUGGGUGAAUAGAUUUUAGAGUUAGCUUGCGAGCUAAGCCAAAAUUAGACAGAUCAGUUGCCAGUCAGAAACAGAAAGAAAACUGUAUCUUUUGUUUUAAUAGCCUCCAGAGGUUUGGGGUUACAGUGUUCUAUUGGGAGAGAGGUAAAUAAGUGUCAGUAUGGCGGCGGUGUGAGUCUUGGUAAGACAUUCAGAACCAGACCGAGUUUUUGGACGGGACCUUCACAGCAGGACGGACCUCAUUAACUCGUCUGGCUGCGAAGGGAAGUCGAGGGCUUCUGUACCGCAACAACGAAACAAGAUACCAGUGAUCUCAUCCUCCUCUUCCCUUCAUUCAUCCCAAGCGCUUAUGAGUUGCCCUGGCAACUUGCGCUCUGUGUGUGUGCGUAUGUGUGUUCAUGGGCUUGAGCAUGAGCGGGGGCCUGAGAAACCACACAGUGAAAAUUAUGUGUCAUCAGAGAGGAUUAGGAGCCCACGGUUUAGUCAAGGGUUUGGGAUCCUGCUGCUGUCGUGCUUGACAGUUUUAUUCAAUGUAAACACACACACACACACUGUCAUGGACACUGUAAACCUGAGAUGCAUUCAACAAAGGCAGAGACUGAUGACAAGGAAGACUGAAAUUGAUUUUCUUCCUUUAACCUGCAACAAAUCUGUAACAGACCCUCUGACAGAAAACAACAGAGAGGACAUGAGCUCAAAGAAGUGUGUGUGUGUGUGUGUGUGUUGAAGGAAAGAGUGUCGGGGUCAAAGGUGUGUUCUCUCUCUCUCUCUCUCUCUCUUCUCCUCUCACACCUUGCCCAUUUUUCUAUCCACCUCUAAGUGACCAAAGGAUGUUCGUGUCUCGCUGGCUGCUUAGCAACAGAAAGUUUCCCAUCAUGUUCAGAAUCAGUUCCUGUCUACAUCACAUGGAUAUGAGAUACAAAAAUAAGAUCCUGAAACUCACAACUUGAAUGUGACUCAGGUUUUGAAACUGAAAUCUGAAAUGCUCGCCCUUGACAAGGCAGCAGCUACACCCUCGUGAACCAUGUAAAGCUGUCAUAGUUUUCCUUCUAUUAGAUAUAGGUACAGGAUUAAAUAUUACUGGAAUUGAUUGGCUCUCAUAUUUAUUCUGUUAAAUAUUUGACCUCGAAGCAGUACCAUUCAUUUUUAGACCAUACUGCUGUAAAUACUUAAGCAUUUAGCUCAGUAUAGCAACAGUUUUCUAUAUGAAAUUGACCUUAUGAACCCGUGAGUCAUAUAACCAAAUACUAAGAAGCUGUAGACUCAAGACUUGAACUUAAGUCAGACUUGGGUCUUGAACCUGAAGACUUGGUCUGGACUCGUGAAUAAUGUAAGUGAAGUCAAGACUCCAGUAAUCAGCCUCGAGACACGAUUGUCCGGAUUGUCCGGACACUUGAAGACCUCAGACCCCGCAGACUUGACACUAGGUUGGAUUGAUGGACAUGAUGCUUACAUGAAGUUCUUAGAAAUUUGGGACAGGUUCUAAUGUAGAUAAUCAUCCAACUAAAGGUUGAUUGAAUUAUUGUGUGAAUAUAGCUUUCAUACUCAUCUGCCUUCAUACUUGGCUUGAAUCGUGAAUGACCUAAGAGAAUACAAGGAACUUUGUUUUUUUAGGCAAAGCUGUAAAAUCAAGACUCGUACUCAAGUAAUCAACCCUGAGAUGCAAUCAUCUGAACACUUGAAGAUCUCAGUACUAGAAGUACCAUGCUUGGCACAGCAGGGACUGGCGAGUGAUGAUAGUCCACAUGGAAGCUGGGGUAGAUUUGGACUUUUAAAUAAACCGUUCUAGGCGUGUUGGCCUCCAGGGACAGUUUUCAGGUGAGCAGUGUGACUGUAAGCACGCCAGAAUGUUGUGUGAGUGUAGCGGCUGAUUCCAGUUGACCAACUCGCAUGCGUCCCUUCAUAUAUUGGUUACAUCCCAGAAUAGUUCUGAACAGUCAAAGGAUCAGAUAUGUGCAGGAAUUCAGGCCUGAGCACGAUGUCCCACUCUGUGAGCUUAAUUUGAGUACUGCCUUAGUAUCUGUUUCCCUUCCUGUUUGCCUUUCCUUCCUCCUUCUGCAUCGUUGUUUAAUCCUUUUUGUUCCUGCUCUUUUACCUCAUGUGCCUUCAUUUCUUCCCCUCUCGUCACACUAUCCGCUGCUGCUCUCAUCACUCUUUCCUUUCUGUUUCCACUCUUCCUUUUCUCGCCCGAGUCCCGCUGCUGUCUGUUAAUAAACCUCCCGGCGUCACUCUCUAACCUUACUGCAGGAAGUUUCCUGCGCUGAAACGGAGCCCACGCUUGAUUGCUUCCUGCCAAAGUGCGUUGUGGGACACGUUUGUUUGGGCCCUCUUCUUCCUCCACCUCCUCCUCCUCCCUUCUGCUCCCCUUGUUGCUUCCUCCUUUGGGCUCUGUGCAGAUGGCUGAGGCCGGCAGACCGGAUCUCGGAGGGGUUUUGGCAGAGCAGCACCUCUCUCCGGCCCUGGAGAGAGCAUACCGCAGCCAUGACCUCGCGACCCAGGCUGCUCUGCUGCCUGCCCCGGCUCUGCUGCUCUCACAAGUCAGCCACGAGAGACAAACGUACAGCUGGCGCAUUUAGUGCAGAUGGCAGCUUGAUUCAAUAUUGAUAUAAAGUCAUUGCUGUAGUCUGUUAGGAGUAUUCCAGUUCCCACAUAUCUUUCUGUUUUAUAGUCCAAGUUAAAUUUAAACAAGGUAAGGUUUAAGAGUACUAAAGGGACAAAUGUGAGCUAAAAAAAACACCAAAUUCUCAAAGAGUUCUCAUACAACUGAUGCUUAAACUUACCACUACUGCUUUAAUCACUGAAGUUGGGACAAUGGGAUUAAAAACAAACACAUUUAUAUAGAGUAUAAUAGAGAUUAUGUAGCCCAGCUAUGAUUUCUACUGUGGCCAGGAAGCCAGUGAAAAAUAUGACGAAAUAUAUCUUAUCUGCCCACCACUAGCUCCUGUGGUUGUGAAACACCUGUAUCCCAUUCCCUGACACUUUCUUAGGAUGUCUGUUGACAAGCUGAGGGUCAGAGCUUGACAGGCUGUAAGCUGUGCUUCAGAUAACCUAGGCCUUCCCGGGCUUAUCGGCAGCGCUCUUGCCUCUAUCUGAAUACAGAGGACUAGGGAAGGGAAGAAAUGGGAAUCUGACAAGCUAGACAGGGUUUCAUUUUAUAUUGAUUGCUCUCUGUGAAAACUUCCUCUGUUUGACGGGCGAGGGGGAGCUGAAGGGGGAGAGGCCUGAAAGCGAGCACAAGGUUCCUAUUACUUGUGUGACAGUGACAUUGGCGGCCAAAGAUAACAGCUGUCCGACUCCCAGAGGAAGUGUUUGAGGCAGGCCGAUAAGUGAGAUGUAAGAAAUGAGUAGUUAUUCUCCAUGUGGGUGUCACGGACGUUCUGAUCGCCGCUAUGCACUUUUGCAAGUUUGUGUGUGUGUGUGUGUGUGUGUGUGUGUGUG